UAUAAGUACAGAGGAAGACAGAAAAAUACUGAAUAAUGCAUGCAAAGUAUUAAAACGUUUAAAGGAAUGUUUCACUAGAGUAGUUUGAUUAGCUGAAUUGACGUCUAUAGAAAGAAAUAAGAACACUGUGGUAGAAAUGAAUGUAGGUACAUUCAUUUCUACCACAGUGUUUUGAAAAUCAUUCAUUAGAUAUUGGGAAGUCUGCAGUCAAAAUGUACAAUAGAGGUUGGUGAUACGUUGGCGACUACACCCGUUGUUCUCUAAAUAACGAUUGACUGUUACAAUUUUACUUUUCAGGUAUCACUUUGACUCAUUAAUUGAGAAUGAUGAGAAUGAGAAAACGUUGUAACCUGAUAGAUAAUGAAUGAAGCAAUCAAGCAAUGUUUGAAAUUGUAUGAAAGAAGAGGAUGUAAAAUAAGAUGGAGCGUUGUAAAUGGUCUACCUAUCCUCAUGAGACGAUAAUAACUGCACGGUUGGGGCUGAAGCUGGGCAACCUAAUGCCGACCCUCGACACUGGAGAAAUUACUAAAGUAUAAAAGUAAAGGACUCACAACAGAAUUUGUAUUCCUGCAUCAGUGUCGUCUUUGUUCAACUCGCUUGAAAGAUGAGGACCUUAAAAUCUGCAAUAGUAAUGCCUAAAUUCACGUGUGGCCUGUGCUCGAGGUCAUAUUCAAAUUACAAGCAUAUGUUGGAGCAUAUGUAUUGGCGACACGGGACAGAGAGCUUUUGGUGCAAGCAGUGCACAGUAAAGCGCUGGCGACACGCUCCGCAUCUCUGUCACGUGUUGCCGAUAGAUGUGACCGACAAUGACUUGAAUUCGGAAUCCCCGACUCAAGAAACGCGUGAAUCCGAGUAUUGCUAUUGCGGAAAGGACAUCCCGGAUUCGCCGAUGAUAGGCUGUGAUGGACCAAAUUGUAAAUUCAAUUGGUUCCAUUACUCCUGCGUCGGCGUAAUUACGGCCCCAGAAGGAGACUGGUUUUGCCCAACAUGCAUCAAAUUAAAAACAAAAAAAGGUUGAUCCAGUUGAGCUGAAGUUAUAAAAUGUGACACUGAGUUUGAAGAAAACCUCGAAGCAGGCUGUUUGAAGAAACACAGGAUGGAGAUCACCCCGGCGGUUGCAGAAAAUGUUAUAAAAUCAAGUUUAUUAUUGUUAUGUUGUAUAUCAAAACUGACAAAUUA